CCUACGGGAGGCAGCAGUAGGGAAUCUUCCGCAAUGGGCGAAAGCCUGACGGAGCAACGCCGCGUGAGUGAUGAAGGUCUUCGGAUCGUAAAACUCUGUUAUCAGGGAAGAACAAAUGUGUAAGUAACUGUGCACAUCUUGACGGUACCUGAUCAGAAAGCCACGGCUAACUACGUGCCAGCAGCCGCGGUAAUACGUAGGUGGCAAGCGUUAUCCGGAAUUAUUGGGCGUAAAGCGCGCGUAGGCGGUUUUUUAAGUCUGAUGUGAAAGCCCACGGCUCAACCGUGGAGGGUCAUUGGAAACUGGAAAACUUGAGUGCAGAAGAGGAAAGUGGAAUUCCAUGUGUAGCGGUGAAAUGCGCAGAGAUAUGGAGGAACACCAGUGGCGAAGGCGACUUUCUGGUCUGUAACUGACGCUGAUGUGCGAAAGCGUGGGGAUCAAACAGGAUUAGAUACCCUGGUAGUCCACGCCGUAAACGAUGAGUGCUAAGUGUUAGGGGGUUUCCGCCCCUUAGUGCUGCAGCUAACGCAUUAAGCACUCCGCCUGGGGAGUACGACCGCAAGGUUGAAACGUCGAAAGGAAUUGACGG
rnacentral:rRNA from 1 species